rnacentral:rRNA from 1 species
UUCCAGGUUGAUCCCAGCCGGAACUGACUUGCAUUAAUCCGGAUUGAUACUAAAGCCAUGCGAGUCAUUGUAAGCCAAUACAAAGCAGACAGGCUCACUAACAGCGUAAGAUCAACACUAACCUAUGGACGGGAAUAACCUCGAGGAAACUGAGUAUAAUGCCCGAUAGAACACUAUACCUGGAAUGGUAUGUGUUCCAAAUGAUUUAUCGCCGUAGGAUGGGACUGCGGCCUAUCAGUUUGUUAGGUGAGGUAAUGGCCCACCAAGACUAUUACAGGUACGAGGCUCUGAGAGCGAUGUAGACCCGGAGAUGGGUACUGAGACACGGACCCAGAGCCCUAUGCGGGCGCAGCAGUGCGAGAAAACUUUGCCAUGUGCGAAAGCACGACAAGGUUAAUACCGAGUGGUUUGUGCUAAACGAACCUUUUGUCAGGUCCUAGAAACAACGAUGAAAUAAAGAGGGUAGCGGCAAGUUCUGGUGUCACGCCAGCCGCCGUAAAAACACAAGCACCUCAAGUGGAUCAGGAUGAUUAUUGCGCCUAAAAGCAUACAGUAGCCAGGAUCUGUAA